UAGGAAGUCUCCCCCGCAGUAUGUGCAGUGGGGAUUGGACACUGGCUACUCCAGAUCAGGGGCAUCUGUCCCUCGGAAUAGAGGAAUUUCCACCUUUAUCUAAAUAAUAAUGUGGAAAGUGAAUUUCUGCAGACUCGGCUGACCCCUCCCUUGUUGAGAGGUGGUCAGGUGUCUGAGUAAAGAGGCAGGCUCUGAAGCCAGAAUGCCAGGUUCAAAUCCUGGCUUGACUACGGACAGCUCUGUGACUUUGGUUUCCUCAUCUGUAAAACAGAUGUGCUAGUACUGCUUCAGAGCGUUGUUGUGCAAAUUGAUGAGUUAACAUAUGUAAAACAUUUAGACCAGUGCCAGGCAUAGCAUGCUUGCUGCUGCUGCUGUUUCUGUAGGACUCCUGGAAGACAGCAUCUGCCUUAGUUACCUCGUGCUGCUGUAGCGAAAAUGCCACAGCCAUGUCUAAAUGUUGGGCAGAAUUUGGUUGUGUACCUGUGUUGUCAAGAACUCUGGGUUCUGCUCGACGCAACUCUGUCCGGGGCCAAAAAGACAGAGACCGAGUUGGGGAGAAAGAAGAGCAACUUUUCUCGUUGCCCAGGCAAUGAGACAGCCAGGGACAGGAAAUAUUAGGCACCAUGUAGCUGAUGAGUGUGUUGUUCUGUUCCUUUUUCAGAUGAUAAACUGUGAGCAUAUAGGCCUCAGAAUGUCAGCUGUCAUCUUCUCACCACCACCAGCCCUAGCUCCCCAAUGCUGCUACUGAGAGAGACCUGUUUGCAGGAAAAGAAUCAGGUAACACACAGGAGAAGCAGAGAUAAGAGGUCAAUGGAGAGAGACAGAAUCCAGACGAUUGUGUGUGCUUUGGACCCAGACACAGAUCCAGCCACGGCCAUACCUUCCAGGUGACAAGAGCAAUACAGUUUCUUUUUGAUUAAGUUAGUUUGAGUCAGAUUUCUGUCACUGUCCCUCAAAGGACUCUUGACUACUACAUCUCUCUUCUCUGUAGUUCCAUAGCUCUUGGGACGUUUUUUUACUGUAUGAUACGUGUUCACACGUGUAACCUUCUUCCCACUGAACUGAGAAGUUAUCUAGGAGAGAGACGAUGUUGUAUUUGUUUUAUAUGCACAGCACCCAGCACAGUGCCUAGAAAAAGUAUUCAUUUACGAUUAGAGUCUAGUCAAACAAAUUAACAAGAAACAGAUAAGCAACCUAACAGAAUAUGGUAAAUGGCGUGUUUAGGUACAUUAUAGAAGAGGAAUCCUGAAAAAAAUGCUCAACCUCACUCCAAACUAAAACCCAUUAUCAUUGAGUCGAGUAGAACUGCCCCAUAGGGUUUCCAAGGCCGUAAUCUUUACAGAAGCAGACUGCCACAUCUCUCUCCCGCAGAGCAGCUGGUAGUUUCAAACCUCUGAUCUUUCAUUUAGCAGCCAAGCGCUUAACUACUGCACCAUCAAGGCUCCUUCAACCUCACUAGUAUCCAGGAAAUACAAGUUAAAAUCACAGCAGCAUAUUUUGACCACCAUCAAAAAAAAAAUGGGUAAAAUUUUAAAUUCUAACAAUAAUAAGUGUUGGUGAAAGGUGGGGAAACACUUUCCUAGGCUAUUUGUGUUGAAUGUAACUUGGUGCAACCAUGUCGAAGAGCAAUUGGGCAAUACCUAGUAAAGCUGAAAGUAUGCAUAUCAUUUCAUUCUGUAAUUCUGCUUCUAAAGACACUGUUGAGUAUGUGCCCAAGGAAAUGUGUACAAGGAUCUUCAUAUAAGCCUCGCUGGCAAAAUGGGAAACCAUCUAAAAUCUACCAUCAGAAGAAUAUUAAGUAAUUAUGACUCAAUCCCAUAAUGGAAUACUCUAGGGCAGUUAAAAUAAAUGAAAUGGCUCUCCAUGUGUCAACAUAGAUCUACCUCAGAAACUUGAUGAUAAGUGUAAAAUCAAAUAGCAGGAGGACAUGUAGAGUAUUGUAACCCCAGUGGCAUAGUGGUUAAGAGCUAUGGCUACUAACCAAAAAGUCGGCAGUUCAAAUCCACAAGGCACUCCUUGGAAACCCUAUGGGACAGUUCUACUCUGUCCUAUAGGUCAAUAUGAGUUGGAAUCGACUCAGUGACAACAGGUUUGGUUUUGUUUUUUUUUUAAUAGAGUGUGAUACCAGGUACCCAGAUGUUAAAAAAAAAAAAAAAAACCCGAGUAGGGCUCGUACACUAUUCUCUCUAAUUUUGAUCAUGUUAAAUGUCCAAUAAUAAAACAAAACAGAAUGAAAAAUCAUUAUGUUGCUUACUCAGAUAUGUAGUAAAACAUAAAAAUAGAGACGAGAAGAAUACCUGCUUGAAGGCUCUUGUUACCGCUGAGGAAAGAGGGGGAGGAGUACAAAAGAAGCUUCAACUGAAUCUAUAGUUUUUAUUUCUUUAGGAAAAAAUAAUCUGAAGCAAAAAUAGCAAAAUAUUAAGAGUCACUAUGCCUAAAGGGUAGGUAUUUUUCUGUACAUUAGAAGUGUUUUUUUUUUAAGAAGAGAGUGGGUCCCUAUGGAAAAGUUUGGUGGUUCCUUAGGAAUUUAGACAUAGAAUUACCAUAUGACCCAGCAAUUCUACUCCUAGGUGUGUAUAGCCAAAAGAACUGAAAGCAAGGACUCACAUAUAACAGAACUAAACAUCGCCUGGCCCUGCGCCAUCUUCAUGAUUAUUGAGCCCAUUGCUGUGGCUAUGUGUCAAUCCAUUUCAUUGACGGUUGCCCUCAUUUUUGCUUACCCUCUACUUUACCAAGCACUACAUCCUUUUCUAGGGAUUGAUCCUUCCUGAUGACAUGUCCAUAGUAAGCAAGACGAAGUCUCCCUAUUCUCACUUCUAUGGAGCAUUCUAACCAUACUUCCUCCAAGACUGAUUUGUUCAUUCUUACGACAGUCCAUAAUAUAUUCAAUAUUUUCUGCCAACGCCACAACUCAAAUGCAUCAAUUCUUUUGCCUUCUUUUUUCAUUGUCCAACUUUUCCCUGCAUAGGAGGUGUCUGAAAAGACCACGGCUUGGCCUUAGUCAUCAAAGUGACAUCUUUUCUUUUUUAGAACUUUAAAGAGGUCUUUUGCAAAAGAUUUGCACAAUGCAAACUGUUGAUUCCAUGGACACUGAUUGUUGAUCCAAGUAGAAUGAAAUCCUUUACAACUUCAAUUUUCUCUCCAUUUAACAUUAUGUUGCCUGUUGGUCCAGUUGUAAGCAUUUUUGUUUUCUUUAUGUUUACUUGCAAUCUGUACUGAAGGCUGUAGUCUUCAGUAAGUGCCUUAAGUCGUCUUUAUGUUCGGCAGGCAAGGUUGUGUUAUUUGCAUAUCACAGGUUGUUAAUGAGUCUUCUGCCAAUCCUGAUGACAAGUUCUUCUUCAUAUAGACCAGCUUUUUGGAUUAUUUGUUCAGCAUACAGUUUGAAUAAGUGUGGCAAAAGGAUACAACCCUGCUGCACAUCUUUUCCAAUUUCGAACCAAGUAAUACACCCUUGUCGUAUUCGAACAGCUGCCCCUUGAUCCAUGUACAGGUUCCACAUGAGCACAACUAAACGUUCCAGAAGUGUUUCUAUGUUAAGUGAAACAAAAUUAGGUGUUUCUGUGUUGGGGAAGGCAAUUCAGUAUUUACAGAUUUUUAAUCAUUACGGUCAAGAGACAUCCCUUUUUACAAACAACUGAUCCACAUAUUUAAUGAUAAUAAUUUCUCUUGUAACCCUGUGGCCUGCAACUGGUGAGGACCCAGGCAAGUGUAACCGCUGUUCUCUGACAAUGUGCAUAUGUUGUGGGAGGCGAGACCGAAGACUGGGCUGUCUGUGUGGAAGAGAGGACGUUUGAGGACAGUCACCUGCACAGUAGCCAUGGGACUUUUGUCCUUUGUGAUCACUGCAGUAUCCCCAGGGAGGACAACCUGGCACACAGAAUCAUGAAGUCCCAGAAGGAAGGAUCGCCAGUGAACCCAGAAGAUGAAACAGAAUAUUACUUUAUCCAUUAAAUCACUACCUUCUAAUGGGCAUCUGAGAGUCCCUCCUCUGUUUGGGUUCCUUCUUCCUUCUGAGUCUUGCAAUCUGCCCUCUGCCUGUCUUUACCCUCUGCCUCACUCCCAGGGUUCCUGCUCCAUCUUGGAUGGAAAAAAAUGAGGUCUUUCAGGCACCACCCAAUUCUUUAGAGCAAAGCCUGUACAAACAAAUAAAAUUUUAUCUCGGUGAC